rnacentral:rRNA from 1 species
UUGGGCGUAAGAGCUCGUAGGCGGUUUGUCGCGUCUGCUGUGAAAACGCGAGGCUCAACCUCGCGCCUGCAGUGGGUACGGGCAGACUAGAGUGCGGUAGGGGAGAUUGGAAUUCCUGGUGUAGCGGUGGAAUGCGCAGAUAUCAGGAGGAACACCGAUGGCGAAGGCAGAUCUCUGGGCCGUAACUGACGCUGAGGAGCGAAAGCGUGGGGAGCGAACAGGAUUAGAUACCCUGGUAGUCCACGCCGUAAACGUUGGGCGCUAGAUGUGGGGACCAUUCCACGGUUUCCGUGUCGCAGCUAACGCAUUAAGCGCCCCGCCUGGGGAGUACGGCCGCAAGGCUAAAACUCAAAGGAAUUGACGGGGGCCCGCACAAGCGGCGGAGCAUGCGGAUUAAUUCGAUGCAACGCGAAGAACCUUACCAAGGCUUGACAUACACCUGAAAAGGCUGGAAACAGUCUCCCCGCAAGGCAGGUGUACAGGUGGUGCAUGGUUGUCGUCAGCUCGUGUCGUGAGAUGUUGGGUUAAGUCCCGCAACGAGCGCAACCCUCGUUCUAUGUUGCCAGCGCGUAAUGGCGGGAACUCAUAGGAGACUGCCGGGGUCAACUCGGAGGAAGGUGGGGAUGACGU